UCGUCGGCGAGCAAGGUGAGCAGCCUGGAGCACUGCCACCACGGCGCCGGCGACGAGCCGUCCUUCCGGAUGGAGGACCUUCCCGCGGAGAUUCUACCUGUUAUAAUCUCACUGCUCCCACUUAAAGAGGCUGUGAGGACCAGCAUUGUUUCAACAAGUUGGAAAAUGCUCUGGACAUUCCACUGUAAUCUGUGUUUUUAUGGUCCCAAUGAACUGGAUGAUGACCCUUCUGUGCCCCCUUUGGAAUCUGAUGAGGAGGCCGCCGUUGAUGAAUAUGUCAAAACAUCACAGGCUAAGUUGAAAAUGAAACAAGAUAAGUUCAUUGAGGCUGUGAAUUGUGUUAUUCAACGGCAUAGCAGGGUGGGAAUCAACAAGUUCAGCAUCAGGUGUGGCCUGCACAAGGAGGAAUUUUAUCAUCUUGACAGGUGGAUUGGCUUUGCCGCUUCAUCAAAGGCGAAGAUUGUAGAUUUUGACCUGAAGAAAAUUGAUUCGCCAUCCAGAGAAGUUCACCAGUUCCCUCUUGAGGCCUUAGUUGUUCAAGGCAGCUCUUGUGUGCAGUCCUUGUAUCUCGCUGAUGUUUCUAUAAAGCCACACCCAGGCAUAUUUGGCUUCACACUACUCAGAAGGCUUGUUCUGGAAUUUGUUGAGAUAUUCAGAGACUUUUCAGGAUUUUUAGCAAACUGUUCAGCACUCGAGGACCUAGAGCUGAUUGAGUGCUCCGGUGUAACCAAUUUAAGCAUACCGCACCAACUUGAUAAACUUCAACAUUUGCUAAUUGACAGAAUGGCUGUCGAGACGGUUGAGUCCAAUGCUGCCGAUCUUGCUCAUUUUGAGUACAAAGGAAAAGAGAUCCCUAUAGUACUUCAUGGUCGCUCAAAGCUAGAGAUGGCUACAAUAAUGUUUGAAGGCAGCAAUGGAUUGGCCCGUGCAUUCACUGCAGUUCCAAUCAUUUUGAGAGUGAAGGUGCUAAAUGUGCAAGCUCAAAUAUCUGCUUAUGAACAGUUGCAGAAGCUGGCACCAAGACCGUGUGGCAUGUUUAUGCAUUUGAGACACAUGACUUGUGGGUUAACUGUCUUGUCUCUUAAGAAACCAAAUUCCGAUAAUGGAGUUCUUCAACUGGUCCACUGUCUGAAUGUUGCACCCCUACUGCAGACGUUGCACUUGGAUAUGAUAUAUUCAUACUUCAAGGCUUCAGCGCCUGCUGAGGUGGCGGAGGAGGAAGGCCCCCACAUGCAUCACCAUGGUCAUCUUAAGACUGUCCACAUCAGCGGGUUCCGGUGCUACAAGGCUCAGGCCGAACUGGCAUGUUGUAUCCUGGAAAAUGCUCGUGUUCUUGACCACAUGGAAUUACAACCAAGGGUCGCGGCCGCAAUAUGCAGUUAUGCUGAUCUGAAGAAUUUCGCUGUUGAAAGAAGAUUUUUACCCGGGGUUCGCGAGUGGGCACAGCUUGCUUCGGAACGCUUUGGUAAGGCAAUCACUGUCUUAGACGCCCCUUCAGAGUGA
rnacentral:rRNA from 1 species